UAAAGAGAGUUAGAUCCUGGCUCAGGACGAACGCAGGCGGCGAGCCUAAUACAUGCAAGUCGAACGAACGGAGGAAGAGCUAGCUCAUCCAAAGUUAGAGGCGGACGGGAGAGUAACACGAGGGCAACCUGCCUGUAAGUUGGGGAAAACUCCGGGAAACCGGGGCUAAAACCGAAUGAUAAAAUGUGGCGCAU
rnacentral:rRNA from 1 species